rnacentral:misc_RNA from 1 species
AAGUCGUAACAAGGUUUUCCCACGGAGACCUUGCACCCGAAGGGGGAGGCGACUAUAAAUAAGCUUCCAGCGCAAGUCAGCACCGCUGGCAACACAAUCGAAUUGCGGGGACGCUCUAAAGCUCUACGGUACCAACCGCCCUCCCGGGGCGGGGCUGGCUCUGCCAGAGGUCAUAACCCGGGGAGAUGCACAAUGAGCAAUCCGCAGCGGUGCGAACCGUUCACAGACUAGGUGAUUGUGGGUUGGGCCACCGCCCAAUCUAAGAUAUAGUCGGUCCCUGUGCGAGAGUACAGGGAGCAAACGUCCGUAGGUGAACCUGCGGAAGGAUCAUUACCAGUGAAGUGCCCGCGCCCUCGUGGCCGGGUGCCCACCCACCCGUGUUUACAUACUCUUGUUGCUUUGGCAGGCCGUGCUCUGCACUGCGGGCUCUGCUCGUGUGUGCCUGCCAGAGGAUCAAACUCUGAAUGUUAGUGAUGUCUGAGUACUAUAUAAUAGUUAAAA